rnacentral:rRNA from 1 species
GGCCACACUGGGACUGAGACACGGCCCAGACUCCUACGGGAGGCAGCAGUAGGGAAUCUUCCGCAAUGGACGAAAGUCUGACGGAGCAACGCCGCGUGAGUGAUGAAGGUUUUCGGAUCGUAAAGCUCUGUUGUUAGGGAAGAACAAGUGCCGUUCGAAUAGGGGCCCUUGACGGUACCUAACCAGAAAGCCACGGCUAACUACGUGCCAGCAGCCGCGGUAAUACGUAGGUGGCAAGCGUUGUCCGGAAUUAUUGGGCGUAAAGCGCGCGCAGGUGGUUCCUUAA